UACGGAGGGGGCUAGCGUUGUUCGGAAUUACUGGGCGUAAAGCGCACGUAGGCGGCUUUGUAAGUUAGAGGUGAAAGCCCGGAGCUCAACUUCGGAAUUGCCUUUAAGACUGCAUCGCUUGAAUCGUGGAGAGGUGAGUGGAACUCCGAGUGUAGAGGUGAAAUUCGUAGAUAUUCGGAAGAACACCAGUGGCGAAGGCGACUCACUGGACACAUAUUGACGCUGAGGUGCGAAAGCGUGGGGAGCAAACAGG
rnacentral:rRNA from 1 species